AUGGAUGUGGCUCUGUUUGAGAUGAAUCAGUCGGAUUCAAAAGAAGCGGACAGUUCACAGGGGAGUUCACAAGACAGUUCAGAGAACAGUUCAGAAUCAGAGAAUGAAGAUGACAGCAUCCCAUCUGAAGUCACCAUAGAUAACAUUAAGCUUCACAAUUCUGAAGGUGGAAAAGGCAAGAUUGAAGUUUUGGACAGUCCAGCAAACCUGCGUUCCUCCGCGCCAGCACGGGGGGAGGCACAGAAGCCCCCCGCCCUCUCCCGAGUGUCCAGGAUGCUUUCCGUGGCUCACCCAGCUCCCAAGCUGCCACAGCCCGAGUGGCUGGACCUGGUGUACACGGCGCUGAAGCGGGGUCUGACGGCCCUUGGAAGUGCACCAGCAGGAGCAGGAGAAACUCCAGGGGCAGAUAAGGGAGUCCAAGAGGAAUUCCCACCUGGGCUUCCUAUAUGAUCUGGACAAGCAAGUCAAGUCCAUUGAAUGCUUCCUGCUACGACUGGAGUUCCAUGCCAGCAAGAUCGACGAGCUGUGUGAGGCAUAAUGUGUCCAGCGGCGUCUGCGGGAUGGUGCCUACAGCAUGGUCCCUGCCUAUACCACUGGGUCCCCUGGGAGCCGAGAGGCCUGGGACAGCCUGGCAGAGGCCACUUGGGGGCAUCGAGAGUACACAGAGAGCAUGUGUCUACAGGAGAGCGAGCUGGAGGCACAGCUGGGCGAGUUUCAUCUCCGAAUGAAAGGCUGGCUGGCUUCGCCAGGCUGUGUGUGGGUGAUCAGUAUGAGAUCUGCAUGAAAUAUGGACGUUAGCACUGGAAACUACGGGACCGAAUUGAGGGUAGUGGAAAGCAGGUGUGGGACAGUGAAGAAACCAUCUUUCUUCCUCUGCUCACGGAAUUCCUGUCUAUCAAGGUAACAGAACUGAAGGGACUGGCCAACCAUGUGGUUGUGGGCAGUGUCUCCUGUGAGACCAAGGACCUGUUUGCUGCCCUGCCACAGGUUGUGGCUGUGGCUAUCAAUGACCUCGGCACCAUCAAGCUCAGCCUGGAAGUCACAUGGAGCCCCUUCGACAAGGAUGACCAGCCCUCAGCUGCUGCUUCUGUCAACAAGGCUUCCACAGUCACCAAGCACUUCUCCGCCUAUGGCCAGAGCCCACCAGACACACCCUCGUUUUGAGAACAGGACUUCUAUAACAUGCUAUGACAGCAGGAGGAGCUGGAGAAUGGGACAGCAUGGUCUCUGUCUUCCGAAUCUUCAGAUGACUCAUCUAGCCCACAGCUCUCAGGCACUGCCCGCCACUCAUCAGCCCCUAGGUCCCUGGUGCAGCAACCCGAGCCCGUUCCCAUCCAAGUUGCCUUCCGUAGGCCUGAGACCCCUAGCUCUGGGUUCUUGGAUGAGGAGGGGGCUGUGGCCCCAAUCCUGGCAAAUGGGCACAUACCCUGCAGUUGGACUCUGAGCCACAUCAGUGAGGCUAGUGUAGACACUGCCUUGGCUGAGGCUUCAAUGGAGGCUGUGGGCCCAGAAAGCCUAGCCCAGGGACCAAGCCCACCUAUACACCCAGAUCCCACCCAUAGGGAGCACGCCAAUCCUGAUCCUCCUGCCCUGGACCAUGGCCACUCUACCACAAGCUCUACUCCUGGUACAACAGGCUCUGUCCCCACAUCCACAGACCCUGCCCCAUCUGUACACCUAGACUCAGUUCAUAAGGCCACAGACUCUGGCCCUUCAGAAUUGCCAGGCCCCACUCAUACCACUACAGGCUCUACCUAUAGUGCUGUUACCUCAACCCACAGUGCUCCAAGCACCCCUACUCACACUACUACAGGCUCCACCCACAAGCCCAUAAUCUCUACCCUUGCUGCUACAGGCCCUACCCUCAAUAUCACAGGCCCAAUCCAGAUUACCACAAGCCCCGCCCACAGCACAGCAAGCCCCACUCAUACUUCCACAAGCCCCACUCACACUUCCACAAGCCCCACCCAUGCCACAAGUCCCACCCAUAAAACCACAAGUCCCACCCACACCACCACAAGUCCCACCCACAAAACUAGGAAGUCAAUUCACACCACUACAAGUUGUACCCCCAGUGCUAUCGGCCAGGUCCAGACUGCCACAAGCCCCACCCAUCCCACCACAAGCCCCACCCCCACAAAUGUAAGCCCUUCCACUUCUCUAGAACUUGCUACCCUCCCCAGCCCUUCCGUACACUCAGACUGCACCCUCCCAUGCACUGACUCCUUUCCCUGUAGCCUGCCAGCCUCUAGUUCCUGCACUCAGGCAGACCCUAUAGCCCCCAGCACCUCCCACCCAAGUCCUGCCCAUUCCAGUUGGAAACCCCUCACAAGCCCUGCCCCAGAUCCCCCAGAGCCAAUGGUUCAGAGUCUAAGUCCCACUCCCUCACCCCCAACCCCUGCACCGCAGCAUUCAGAACUUAGUGUGGCCAUGGUUGUCCAGACCCCAGUCCCAGGGGCAGCUGGAGGGACUGGGAACAGGAGGUUGGAGGAGGCACUGGGGGCCCUAAUGGCUGCCCUGGAUGACUACCAUGGCCAGUUUCCUGAGCUGCAGGGCCUGGAGCAGGAGGUGACCCGACUAGAGAGUCUGCUCAUGCAGAGGCAAGGCCUGACUCGCAGCCGGGCCUCCAGUCUCAGCAUCACUGUGGAGCAUGCCUUGGAGAGCUUCGGCUUUCUCAAUGAAGACGAAGAUGAAGACAACGAUGUUCCUGGGGACAGGCCCCCAAGCAGCCCAGAGGCUGGAGCUGAGGACAGCAUAGAUUCACCCAGUGCCCACCCCCUCAGCACGGGGUGUCCAGCUAUGGAUGCUGCCUUGGUCCAGCACCUGUACCACUGCAGUCGCCUCCUGCUGAAACUGGGCACAUUUGGGCCCCUGCGCUGCCAGAAGGCAUGGGCCCUGGAGCGGCUGCUGCUGGAAGCCUGAGUGCUGAAGGUGGGAGACCCUGGCCACCUCUGCCCAGGAAGUGGUGCAGUUCUCAGCCUCUCGGCCUGGCUUCCUGACCUUCUGGGACCAAUGCACAGAGGGACUCAGCUGCUUCCUCUGCCCAAUGGAACGGGUGCUUCUCACCUUCUGCAACCAGUAUGGUGCCCGCCUCUCCCUGCGCCAGCCAGGCUUGGCCGAGGCUAUGUGUGUGAAGUUUCUGGAGGAUGCCCUGGGGCAGAAGCUGCCCAGAAGGCCCCAGCCAGGACCUGGAGAGCAGCUCACAGUCUUCCAGUUGUGGAGUUUCGUGGAAACCCUGGAAAGCCCCUCCAUGGAGGCCUACGUGACCGAGACUGCCAAGGAAGUGUUACUGGUGUGGAAUCUGAACUCAGAUGACGAGGCUGUUGUGCAGAAGGCCCUGAGAUUGGCGCCCAAGGGGCGUCUGCGGAGGGAUGGGCUGCAGGCCCUCAGCUCCCUUCUCAUCCAUGGCAACAACAAGGUUAUGGCUGCUGUCAGCACCCAGCUCUGGAGCCUGUCACUGGGCCCUGCCUUCCGGGAGAGGGCCCUCCUGUGCUUCCUGGACCAGCUGGAAGAUGAAGAUGUGCAGACUCGAGUGGCUGCUGCCUGGCCCUGGGCUGCAUCAAGGCUACUGGGGGCACUGAGCCCCUGGUGUACCUCUGCCAGAUGGACACAGAAGCUGUGAGGGAAGCUGCCCGGCAGAGCCUGCAGCAGUGUGGAGAAGAGGGACAGUCUGCCCAUCGAUGGCUGGAGGAGUCCCUGGAUGCCCUGCCCCGCAUCUUUGGGCCUGGCAGCAUGGCUAGCACAGCAUUCUAAACUAUUCACCCACGGGUUCCUGGCGCCCCUUCCCCCCACUUUCAGCGUUCACCAGGCACUGGCCAGGAGCAUAAGGGCUGCCUCCAGAUACCCCUCCCCCACAGAUUCCUAGCAUUGAAAAUCUAAUAUAUUCUUCUGCACAUCCCUUGCCAUAAAUCAGUGUCCGGGGCUUUGCCACCCUGCCUCUCUGCCCAGCCAUAUCCCUUGGUUUUGUAUUUUAUUUACAGAAAAUAAAAAAGCAAAAUGCGUUUCCUACCAAAAAAAA